rnacentral:rRNA from 1 species
ACAAGCGGUGGAGCAUGUGGUUUAAUCGAAGCAACGCGAAGAACCUUACCAGGUCUUGACAUCCCGAUGCUAUUCUAGAGAUAGAAAGUUACUUCGGUACAUCGGUGACAGGUGGUGCAUGGUUGUCGUCAGCUCGUGUCGUGAGAUGUUGGGUUAAGUCCCGCAACGAGCGCAACCCCUAUUGUUAGUUGCCAUCAUUCAGUUGGGCACUCUAGCGAGACUGCCGGUAAUAAACCGGAGGAAGGUGGGGAUGACGUCAAAUCAUCAUGCCCCUUAUGACCUGGGCUACACACGUGCUACAAUGGUUGGUACAACGAGUUGCGAGUCGGUGACGGCGAGCUAAUCUCUUAAAGCCAAUCUCAGUUCGGAUUGUAGGCUGCAACUCGCCUACAUGAAGUCGGAAUCGCUAGUAAUCGCGGAUCAGCACGCCGCGGUGAAUACGUUCCCGGGCCUU